rnacentral:rRNA from 1 species
GAUGAACGCUGGCGGCGUGCCUAAUACAUGCAAGUCGAGCGAACGGACGAGAAGCUUGCCUCUCUGAUGUUAGCGGCGGACGGGUGAGUAACACGUGGAUAACCUACCUAUAAGACUGGGAUAACUUCGGGAAACCGUAGCUAAUACCGGAUAAUAUUUUGAACCGCAUGGUUCAAAAGUGAAAGACGGUCUUGCUGUCACUUAUAGAUGGAUCCGCGCUGCAUUAGCUAGUUGGUAAGGUAACGGCUUACCAAGGCAACGAUGCAUAGCCGACCUGAGAGGGUGAUCGGCCGCACUGGAGCUGGGACACGGUCCAGACUCCUACGGGAGGCAGCAGUAGGGAAUCGUCCGCAAAGGGCGAAAGCCUGACGGAGCAGCGCCGCGUGAGUGAUGAAGGUCUUCGGAUCGUAAAGCUCUGUUAUUAGGGAAGAACAUAUGUGUAAGUAACUGUGCACAUCUUGACGGUACCUAAUCAGAAAGCCACGGCUAACUACGUG